rnacentral:rRNA from 1 species
UACAGAGGGUGCGAGCGUUAAUCGGAAUUACUGGGCGUAAAGCGUGCGUAGACGGCUAUCUAAGUCGGGUGUGAAAGCCCCGGGCUCAACCUGGGAACAGCGCUUGAGACUGGCACGCUCGAGUUCGGGAGAGGAUGGUGGAAUUCCCAGUGUAGAGGUGAAAUUCGUAGAUAUUGGGAAGAACACCGAUGGCGAAGGCAGCCAUCUGGACCGACACUGACGCUGAGGCGCGAAAGCGUGGGGAGCAAACAGG